GCUAGAGCCGAGCGAAGCGAUGCCUAAAUCAAAGGAACUUGUUUCUUCAAGCUCUUCUGGCAGUGAUUCUGACAGUGAGGUUGACAAAAAGUUAAAGAGGAAAAAGCAAGUUGCUCCAGAAAAACCUGUAAAGAAACAAAAGACAGGUGAGACUUCGAGAGCCCUGUCAUCUUCUAAACAGAGCAGCAGCAGCAGAGAUGAUAACAUAUUGGGAAAAUGAGGUACGUUAGUGUUCGCGAUUUUAAAGGCAAAGUGCUAAUUGAUAUUAGAGAAUAUUGGAUGGAUCCUGAAGGUGAAAUGAAACCAGGAAGAAAAGGUAUUUCUUUAAAUCCAGAACAAUGGAGCCAGCUGAAGGAACAGAUUUCUGACAUUGAUGAUGCAGUAAGAAAACUGUAAAAUUCGAGCCAUAUAAAUAAAACCUGUACUGUUCUAGUUGUUUUAAUCUGUCUUUUUACAUUGGCUUUUGUUUUCUAAAUGUUCUCCAAGCUAUUGUAUGUUUGGAUUGCAGAAGAAUUUGUAAGAUGAAUACUUUUUUUUAAUGUGCAUUAUUAAAAAUAUUGAGUGAAGCUAAUUGUCAACUUUAUUAAGGAUUACUUUGUCUGCCCACCACCUAGUGUAAAAUAAAAUCAAGUAAUACAAUCUUAACUGUUGUGGCCUUUUUUGAUCAUAAGAGUUGGUACUGUUUAAGGCCAAAAGUAACAGUUUUUAUAGAUCUUUUAGUUUCAACUCAGCUUUUACAAUAAAAAGGAUUUGUAUUGCAUUGAGUUUAUAAACUUUUGGUUUGUGAACUUCAUAUUUGAUCUUUUCUCUUCCAAUCAAAUGUCUAGGCUUGUUUGACUUCCACCCCCAAUGGUUUUUCACUCUUUUUAUUUACUUCAUUUUCCUUUAAUAACUUAAUCUCUUCAUGUUCAGUUUUUACUUCACUCUUUAUUCUUUUCUUUGAUUAUGGUAUGCUUAUUUGGAAAGUCAGUGAAACUGUCAAAAUGUUAUCUCAAUAAGAUACUUAUAUGAGAACUACAAUCACCGAAUCUACUGUAUUCAAUAUUAGCAGAUCUAAUUUGAUAAACAACAUGGCUUGUGUGAAAACUGAGCAGGUGUUUGUUUACCCAUAGUGUUCUGUGUAGUUAUUGCUUAGUCUGCAGAAAAUAAUGACUUAGAUGAGAUGUCUGACUUGCUUUCACUUAUUAAACAUGUUCACCAUGGGAUGAUGUCUGUAACAUCAGAUAUUGUUCAACUAGACUAGGAUUUAAUAAAAAUUGUGAAAG
rnacentral:lncRNA from 1 species